GUUCCCGCAACUCCCCCCA
rnacentral:misc_RNA from 1 species